AUUGAACGCUGGCGGCAGGCUUAACACAUGCAAGUCGAGCGGGGGAGGGUAGCUUGCUACCUAACCUAGCGGCGGACGGGUGAGUAAUGCUUAGGAAUCUGCCUAUUAGUGGGGGACAACAUUCCGAAAGGAAUGCUAAUACCGCAUACGCCCUACGGGGGAAAGCAGGGGAUCUUCGGACCUUGCGCUAAUAGAUGAGCCUAAGUCGGAUUAGCUAGUUGGUGGGGUAAAGGCCUACCAAGGCGACGCUCUGUAGCGGGUCUGAGAGGAGGAUCCGGCACACUGGGACUGAGACACGGCCCAGACUCCUACGGGAGGCAGCAGUGGGGAAUAUUGGACAAUGGGGGGAACCCUGAUCCAGCCAUGCCGCGUGUGUGAAGAAGGCCUUUUGGUUGUAAAGCACUUUAAGCGAGGAGGAGGCUACCGAGAUUAAUACUCUUGGAUAGUGGACGUUACUCGCAGAAUAAGCACCGGCUAACUCUGUGCCAGCCGCCGCGGUAAGAC
rnacentral:rRNA from 1 species